rnacentral:rRNA from 1 species
GACGAACCGUGCGAACGUUGUUCGGAAUCACUGGGCUUAAAGGGCGCGUAGGCGGGCUGACAAGUCUGGGGUGAAAUCCCACGGCUCAACCGUGGAACUGCCUUAGAUACUGUCGGCCUCGAGGAAGGUAGGGGCAUGCGGAACUGUAGGUGGAGCGGUGAAAUGCGUUGAUAUCUACAGGAACGCCGGUGGCGAAAGCGGCGUGCUGGACCUUUUCUGACGCUGAUGCGCGAAAGCGUGGGGAGCGAUCCGG